rnacentral:rRNA from 1 species
AAUGAACGCUGGCGGCAGGCCUAACACAUGCAAGUCGAACGGAUCCUUCGGGAUUAGUGGCGGACGGGUGAAUAACGCGUGGGAACAUACCCUUUGGUACGGAAUAGCCUCGGGAAACUGGGAGUAAUACCGUAUGUGGUCGAGAGACGAAAGAUUUAUCGCCAAAGGAUUGGCCCGCGUUGGAUUAGGUAGUUGGUGGGGUAAUGGCCUACCAAGCCGACGAUCCAUAGCUGGUUUGAGAGGAUGAUCAGCCACACUGGGACUGAGACACGGACCAGACUCCUACGGGAGGCAGCAGUGGGGAAUCUUAGACAAUGGGGGAAACCCUGAUCUAGCCAUGCCGCGUGAUCGAUGAAGGCCUUAGGGUUGUAAAGCUCUUUUACCAGGGAUGAUAAUGACAGUACCUGGAGAAUAAGCUCCGGCUAACUCCGUGCCAGCCGCCGCGGUAA